rnacentral:rRNA from 1 species
AAGCAGGGGAUCACUUGUGACCUUGCGCUAAUAGAUGAGCCUAAGUCGGAUUAGCUAGUUGGUGGGGUAAAGGCCUACCAAGGCGACGAUCUGUAGCGGGUCUGAGAGGAUGAUCCGCCACACUGGGACUGAGACACGGCCCAGACUCCUACGGGAGGCAGCAGUGGGGAAUAUUGGACAAUGGGGGGAACCCUGAUCCAGCCAUGCCGCGUGUGUGAAGAAGGCCUUUUGGUUGUAAAGCACUUUAAGCGAGGAGGAGGCUACUCUAGUUAAUACCUAGGGAUAGUGGACGUUACUCGCAGAAUAAGCACCGGCUAACUCUGUGCCAGCAGCCGCGGUAAUACAGAGGGUGCGAGCGUUAAUCGGAUUUACUGGGCGUAAAGCGUGCGUAGGUGGCCAAUUAAGUCAAAUGUGAAAUCCCCGAGCUUAACUUGGGAAUUGCAUUCGAUACUGGUUGGCUAGAGUAUGGGAGAGGAUGGUAGAAUUCCAGGUGUAGCGGUGAAAUGCGUAGAGAUCUGGAGGAAUACCGAUGGCGAAGGCAGCCGUCUGGCCUAAUACUGACACUGAGGUACGAAAGCAUGGGGAGCAAACAGGAUUAGAUACCCUGGUAGUCCAUGCCGUAAACGAUGUCUACUAGCCGUUGGGGUCUUUGA